rnacentral:rRNA from 1 species
GAUGAACGCUGGCGGCGUGCCUAAUACAUGCAAGUCGAGCGAACGGAUGAGAAGCUUGCUUCUCUGAUGUUAGCGGCGGACGGGUGAGUAACACGUGGAUAACCUACCUAUAAGACUGGGAUAACUUCGGGAAACCGGAGCUAAUACCGGAUGAUAUUUUGAACCGCAUGGUUCAAUAGUGAAAGACGGUCUUGCUGUCACUUAUAGAUGGAUCCGCGCUGCAUUAGCUAGUUGGUAAGGUAACGGCUUACCAAGGCAACGAUGCAUAGCCGACCUGAGAGGGUGAGCGGCCACACUGGAACUGAGACACGGUCCAGACUCCUACGGGGGGCAGGAGUAGGGAAUCUUCCGCAAUGGGCGAAAGCCUGACGGAGCAACGCCGCGUGGGUGAUGAAGGUCUUCGGAUCGUAAAACUCUGUUAUUAGGGAAGAACAUAUGUGUAAGUAACUGUGCACAUCUUGACGGUACCUAAUCAGAAAGCCACGGCUAACUACGUG